rnacentral:rRNA from 1 species
CCUACGGGAGGCAGCAGUGAGGAAUAUUGGUCAAUGGCCGUAAGGCUGAACCAGCCAAGUCGCGUGAAGGAUGAAGGAUCUAUGGUUUGUAAACUUCUUUUAUAGGGGAAUAAAGGUAUCCAUGUGUGGAUCUUUGCAUGUACCUUAUGAAUAAGCAUCGGCUAACUCCGUGCCAGCAGCCGCGGUAAUACGGAGGAUGCGAGCGUUAUCCGGAUUUAUUGGGUUUAAAGGGUGCGUAGGUGGGUUUUUAAGUCAGCGGUGAAAGUUUGUGGCUCAACCGUAAAAUUGCCGUUGAAACUGGAAGCCUUGAGUGUGUUUGAGGUAGGCGGAAUGCGUGGUGUAGCGGUGAAAUGCUUAGAUAUCACGCAGAACUCCGAUUGCGAAGGCAGCUUACUAAGCCAUAACUGACACUGAAGCACGAAAGCGUGGGGAUCAAACAGGAUUAGAUACCCGGGUAGUC